UUUACCAAAAAGCCUUCACCUUUACACUUCAACUACUAAAAAAAGGAAUGUCCUUUUCAGGGAUUAUAUCAGCCAUUAAACAUAUCAUGUCAAACAAGUUAUGUUAGGUUGUGAAGUACCAAACGUUUCUUCUUCAGAUCUCUUUGGUCUUUUUGGUGUUGUUCUCUGCAGACUUUUCUAACACAUUUGGGUGAUUGUUGUUUGGGGGGUUAGUUCAAAGAGACCCGAAGAUGGCAGCAGGUGUUAAUAGGAAAAUAUCAGCCGCUUCCGCAAGAGCUCACACUAGAAGAGCCAAGCAAAACGCUUCUUUCAAACUUCCUUCAGGGAUUUGCACAAAUAUACUAUUGGUCUUGUUUGCUGGGAUAUUGGCAUGGGCUUAUCAGGCUAUUCAGCCGCCAAUACCUAAGACAUGUGGCUCUCCUGAUGGUCCACCGGUCACGGCAUCGAGAAUAAAGCUCAAGGAUGGAAGGUAUUUGGCCUACAAAGAGCAUGGUGUUCCCGAGAUGCAGCAAAGUAUAAAAUUGUCUAUGUCCAUGGCUUUGAUUCUUGUAGACAUGAUGCGGUUGUUGCCAAUACCUUGUUACCGGAAAUUGUUGAAGCUCUCGGGGUCUAUAUCGUGUCUUUUGACAGACCAGGUUAUGGAGAGAGUGACCCUAAUCCAAAACGAACGGUUCAGAGCUUGCCUUUGGAUAUAGAAGAGCUUGCUGAUCAAUUGGGAUUAGGAUCCAAGUUUUAUGUAAUUGGAUUUUCUAUGGGGGGACAGGUUAUUUGGAGCUGCCUCAAGUACAUCCCACACAGGUUAGCUGGGGCAGCAUUGUUAGCUCCAGUUGUUAACUACUGGUGGCCUGGUUUUCCUACGAACUUAGUUACGGAAGCAUAUCAGCAACAGUUACCCCAAGACCAGUGGGCCGUUCGUGUGAGUCACUAUGCUCCCUGGCUUACCUACUGGUGGAACACUCAAAAAUGGUUCCCUAGUUCUAGUGUUGUUGCUCACAGUACCGAUAUUCUUAAUAGUGAGGACAAAAAACUCUUGCCCGAGAUAGUCUCUACUAGGAACUACACGGCAGUAGUAAGACAGCAAGGUGAAUACGAGUCUCUGCAUCGUGACAUGAUGAUCGGAUUUGGAACAUGGGAAUUCUCUCCCAUGGAUCUGGACAACCCAUUUCCUAACAACGAGGGAUCGGUGCACAUGUGGCAUGGAGAUGAAGAUAAGAUAGUGCCGGUUAUACUGCAACGCUACAUUGCACAACAACUCCCAUGGAUUCACUACCACGAACUACCAGGUGCUGGACAUAUGUUUCCACACGCUCCAGGGAUGUCGGAUAAUAUAGUGAAGGUUUUGGUCGGAGAGUAGUAGUCUGCAUUUAUAGGUGGAAUUUCCCUUUAUUCCAACCAACAUUGAUACUGCAAACCUCUCUAUAUGGAUUGAAUUCGACAAUUAUACAAGAGAAAUGCGAAGGGGUUGUUUAGUUUUAAGGUAAUGUUUGUUUGGCAGAAUAUUUUGCAGAGAAAAAUUUCAGUAUUUUACCGUGUUUGGUUCAGGAAAAUAUUUUACUCCUCAACUUGAAAGAGCGUGUUUUCCUGACAUUUUACAAACGCAUCACUGUUUGCUCCUCGUUUUUUUUUUCUCUUCCUCAAAUAAAAUAUAUAUCUUCUUCAACAA